GACGAACGCUGGCGGCGUGCUUAACACAUGCAAGUCGAACGAGAAGAGAUGAGAAGCUUGCUUCUUAUUGAUUCGAGUGGCAAACGGGUGAGUAACGCGUAAGCAACCUGCCCUUCAGAUGGGGGACAACAGCUGGAAACGGUUGCUAAUACCGAAUACGUUCUUUUUGUCGCAUGGCAGAGGGAAGAAAGGGAGGCUCUUCGGAGCUUUCGCUGAAGGAGGGGCUUGCGUCUGAUUAGCUAGUUGGAGGGGUAACGGCCCACCAAGGCGACGAUCAGUAGCCGGUCUGAGAGGAUGAACGGCCACAUUGGGACUGAGACACGGCCCAGACUCCUACGGGAGGCAGCAGUGGGGAAUCUUCCGCAAUGGACGAAAGUCUGACGGAGCAACGCCGCGUGAACGAUGACGGCCUCGGUUGUAAAGUUCUGUUAUACGGACGAAUGGCGUAGCGGUCAAUACCCGUUACG
rnacentral:rRNA from 1 species